UGCAUAGGCCGGCAUUCGAACCCGGGCCGCCCGUGUGGCAGGCGAGCAUUCUACCACUGAACCACCGAUGC